rnacentral:rRNA from 1 species
AUGGGACGGCGACCUCGCCUUCCUAUUCAAUGUUCUGUCGGUAGCGUCGUUCUCUGUCCAGGAGCAUCCGGACAGGGAGGUGCUCCCGCCAUGCGUCUAGGCAUGUACUGCAACGGCGACCACAUGGCUAAGAUGGCCAUUGCCAUCACCGAGUUCCGCGCUCUCUGUUCUUCAUUAAAUCAGAUGCGGAAACUAAAAGGCGAGUACCAUGGGAUCAUGAAGUAUAUAAAGCAAAGGAGGAGUUGUACCAUCUCCUCUCCGGCAAGAUUCUUUUUUUUGCUGGGGAAUGAACGAAUUGAAUGCAAGAUUGCAUUGUUACAAGGACAGAGAGUGGACCACCACCUUCAGUUUCUCAGAUUCCCUGUUUGCAUUCGCCAUUCUCAACAAGCACCAGGAUGUGGCUUUGGUUCUGCACAAACAAUAUCUUCAGUGGUUUCUAGAUCAAGCCCUAUGUUCUUUAUCUGA